rnacentral:rRNA from 1 species
GGGAACUCGGCAAAAUGCCCCCGUAACUUCGGGAGAAGGGGGGCCAUCCACUUAUACGGAUUUACUCCGGAAAGGGUGUGGUGGCCGCAGAGACCAGUGGGAAGCGACUGUUUACUAAAAACACAGGUCCGUGCGAACAAGCAAUUGGAUGUAUACGGACUGACGCCCGCCCCGGUGCUGGAAGGUUAAGAGGAGAGGUCAACCCUUCGGGGUGAAGCUUUGAAUUUAAGCCCCAGUAAACGGCGGUGGUAACGAUAACCAUCCUAAGGUAGCGAAAUUCCUUGUCGGGUAAGUUCCGACCUGCACGAAUGGCGUAACGACUUCCCAGCUGUCUCCACCAUGAACUCGGCGAAAUUGCACUACGAGUAAAGAUGCUCGUUACGCGCAGAAGGACGGAAAGACCCCGUGACCUUUACUACAGCUUGGUAUUGGUGUUCGGUGUGCUUGUGUAGGAUAGGUGGGAGACUGUGAAGCAGGGACGCUAGUUCUUGUGGAGUCAUUGUUGAAAUACCACUCUGGUCAUAUUGGAUAUCUAACUACGGACCCUGAUCGGGUUCUGGGACAGUGCCUGGUGGGUAGUUUAACUGGGGCGGUUGCCUCCUAAAGAGUAACGGAGGCGCCCAAAGGUUCCCUCAACCUGGUUGGCAAUCAGGUGGCGAGUGUAAGUGCACAAGGGAGCUUGACUGUGAGACUGACAGGUCGAGCAGGGACGAAAGUCGGGACUAGUGAUCCGGCAGUGGCUUGUGGAAGCGCUGUCGCUCAACGGAUAAAAGGUACCUCGGGGAUAACAGGCUGAUCUUGCCCAAGAGUCCAUAUCGACGGCAUGGUUUGGCACCUCGAUGUCGGCUCGUCGCAUCCUGGGGCUGGAGUAGGUCCCAAGGGUUGGGCUGUUCGCCCAUUAAAGCGGUACGCGAGCUGGGUUUAGAACGUCGUGAGACAGUUCGGUCCCUAUCCUCUGCGCGCGUUGGAAAUUUGAGAGGAUCUGACCCUAGUACGAGAGGACCGGGUUGGACGGACCUCUGGUGUGCCAGUUGUUCUGCCAAGGGCAUGGCUGGUUGGCUACGUUCGGGAUGGAUAACCGCUGAAAGCAUCUAAGCGGGAAGCCGGCCUCGAGAUGAGAUUUCCGUCACCCUUGUGGUGGUGAGGCUCCCAGGAGAUUACUGGGUUGAUAGGCCAGAUGUGGAAGCACUGUAAGGUGUGGAGCUGACUGGUAC